rnacentral:rRNA from 1 species
CUACUGGGGUUUCUAAUCCGGAUCGCUCCCCACGCUUUCGCGCCUCAGCGUCAGCAAAGCUCCAGGCAACCGCCUUCGCCACUGGUGUUCCUCCCGAUAUCUACGCAUUCCACCACUACACCGGGAAUUCCAUUGCCCCCUAGCUUGCUCCAGCCACGCCGUAUCCGCCGACCCCGCCCAGUUGAGCCGGGCGAUUUCACAACGGACGUGCGUGGCCGCCUACGCGCCCUUUACGCCCAAUAAAUCCGGGCAACGCUUGCACCCUACGUAUUACCGCGGCUGCUGGCAC